rnacentral:rRNA from 1 species
AACGAACGCUGGCGGCAUGCCUUACACAUGCAAGUCGAACGGUAACGCGGGGCAACCUGGCGACGAGUGGCGAACAGGUGAGUAAUACAUCGGAACGUGCCCAGUAGUGGGGGAUAGCCCGGCGAAAGCCGGAUUAAUACCGCAUACGAUCUAUGGAUGAAAGCGGGGGAGUCGCAAGACCUCGCGCGAUUGGAGCGGCCGAUAUCAGAUUAGGUAGUUGGUGGGGUAAAGGCCCACCAAGCCGACGAUCUGUAGCUGGUCUGAGAGGACGACCAGCCACACUGGAACUGAGACACGGUCCAGACUCCUACGGGAGGCAGCAGUGGGGAAUUUUGGACAAUGGGCGCAAGCCUGAUCCAGCAAUGCCGCGUGCAGGAUGAAGGC